rnacentral:rRNA from 1 species
UAGGGAAUCUUCCGCAAUGGACGCAAGUCUGACGGAGCAACGCCGCGUGAGUGAAGAAGGAUUUCGGUUCGUAAAACUCUGUUGUUAGAGAAGAACAGCGCAUAGAGUAACUGUUAUGCGUGUGAAGGUAUCUAACCAGAAAGCCACGGCUAACUACGUGCCAGCAGCCGCGGUAAUACGUAGGUGGCAAGCGUUGUCCGGAUUUAUUGGGCGUAAAGCGAGCGCAGGCGGUCAAUUAAGUCUGAUGUGAAAGCCCCCGGCUCAACCGGGGAGGGUCAUUGGAAACUGGUUGACUUGAGUGCAGAAGAGGAGAGUGGAAUUCCAUGUGUAGCGGUGAAAUGCGUAGAUAUAUGGAGGAACACCAGUGGCGAAGGCGACUCUCUGGUCUGUAACUGACGCUGAGGCUCGAAAGCGUGGGUAGCAAACAGG